CACUAAUCGAUUUUAAAAUGAGUAUCUUCUAGCUCUAGAGACCAGAAUCUGCCCUCAAGAAUCCUAAGUUCAAAGCCCACUGUUCGAGGCUUGGCCUCCAUAACUGUAGUCUGUGAGUAGUGGCCACAUUACAUUACCAAUAGACAAAAGCAAAAUCUUGAUAAAAACUUCAAUUCUUCACAUUCGACGCUAAAAGAGCACACCAAUAGCCACAAUGAAGAAGAUAUAAGAAGACUGCAAAAGGACCAAUCCAAAACAGAAGCAUAAACUCCUAAAUGCAAUUAAAAAAGAGGUUUAAAAUGGGAUUAAGCAAGAAAUUGUUGCUUAUGGGAAGAGCAGAAACGAUACGGAUACAUUUAACGGCUAAAUAGCCUCAGAAGCUGUGAAAAUUGCAUUGAACAACAGAGAGGAAGGCAUAAAAGGGUGUGAAAAGACCUGAAUAAGAAAUCGAAGCGCCAAGUGUAAUUAGGAAGAACAAUAGAGAGCAGACUAAGAC
rnacentral:lncRNA from 1 species